rnacentral:rRNA from 1 species
UACGAAGGGGGCUAGCGUUGUUCGGAAUCACUGGGCGUAAAGCGCACGUAGGCGGAUGUGCCAGUCAGGGGUGAAAUCCCGGAGCUCAACUUCGGAACUGCCUCUGAUACAGCACGUCUUGAGUCCGGAAGAGGUGGGUGGAAUUCCUAGUGUAGAGGUGAAAUUCGUAGAUAUUAGGAAGAACACCGGUGGCGAAGGCGGCAUCCUGGACCGACAUUGACGCUGAGGCGCGAAAGCUAGGGGAGCAAACGGG